rnacentral:rRNA from 1 species
CCUACGGGUGGCAGCAGUGAGGAAUAUUGGUCAAUGGACGAGAGUCUGAACCAGCCAAGUAGCGUGAAGGAUGACUGCCCAGUGUGUUGUAAACUUCUUUUAUCAAGGAAUAAAACGGGGCACGUGUGCCUUUUUGCAGGUACUUUAUGAAUAAGGAUCGGCUAACUCCGUGCCAGCAGCCGCGGUAAUACGGAGGAUCCGAGCGUUAUCCGGAUUUAUUGGGUUUAAAGGGUGCGUAGGUGGGUUGUUAAGUCAGUCGUGAAAGUCUGGGGCUCAACCGUAAAAUUGCAAUUGAUACUGGCAGUCUUGAGUACAGUUGAGGUAGGCGGAAUGCGUGGUGUAGCGGUGAAAUGCUUAGAUAUCACGAAGAACCCCGAUUGCGAAGGCAGCUUACUAACCUGUGACUGACAUUGAUGCUCGAAAGUGUGGGUAUCAAACAGGAUUAGAUACCCCUGUAGUC